rfam:Pan troglodytes isolate Yerkes chimp pedigree #C0471 (Clint) chromosome 4, whole genome shotgun sequence.
GCUGGGUGCGGUGGCGGGCGCCUGUAAUCCUAGCUACUCUGGAGGCUGAGGCACGAGAAUCACUUGAGCCUGGGAGGCGAGGGUUGCAGUGAGCCGAGAUCAUGCCACGGUACUCCAGCCUGGGCAACAGAGUGAGACUUUGUCUCAA